rnacentral:misc_RNA from 1 species
GAUGAAGAACGCAGCGAAAUGCGAUAAGUAAUGUGAAUUGCAGAUUUCAGUGAAUCAUCGAAUCUUUGAACGCACCUUGCGCCUUGUGGUAUUCCACAAGGCAUGCCCGUUUGAGUAUCAUUAAAUCAUCAACUCUAAAACCUUUGUGGUUUUUUUAGAGCUUGGUCUUGAGGGUUUUGCAGGCUUUUUUUUUUCGAGUCUGCUCCCUUUAAAUGCAUUAGCGAGACUUCCCUAUGCUGAACCGUCUCUUUGACGUGAUAAUUAUCUGCGUCGAAUUUUGGUUCUCGUUGGGCUUGCUUCUAAUCGUCUGUUAAAGACAAAACGGAUUUGGGUGCAUAUAUGCGCCUUUUUCCAAAACCUUUUUUGAUCUUAAAUCGGGUAGGACUACCCGCUGAACUUAAGCAUAUCAAUAAGCGGAGGA